rnacentral:rRNA from 1 species
ACACGUGGGCAACCUGCCUGUAAGUUGGGGAUAACUCCGGGAAACCGGGGCUAAUACCGAAUGAUAAGAUGUGGCGCAUGCCACGCCUUUGAAAGAUGGUUUCGGCUAUCGCUUACAGAUGGGCCCGCGGUGCAUUAGCUAGUUGGUAGGGUAAUGGCCUACCAAGGCAACGAUGCAUAGCCGACCUGAGAGGGUGAUUGGCCACACUGGGACUGAGACACGGCCCAGACUCCUACGGGAGGCAGCAGUAGGGAAUCUUCCGCAAUGGACGAAAGUCUGACGGAGCAACGCCGCGUGUAUGAAGAAGGUUUUCGGAUCGUAAAGUACUG